rnacentral:piRNA from 1 species
UGCACAAGGUAACCAGAGCUGCUGUAAGUGA